rnacentral:tRNA from 1 species
UCCCGGUGGCUCAGUGGUAAAGAACCUGCCUGCAAUGCAUGAGAUGCAGGAGACCCAGGUUCAAUCCCUGGGUUGGGAA